ACACGACUACAUUAGAUACCCGUGUAGUCCUAGCCGUAAACGAUACUCGCUAGGUGUCGGCCACGGUGCGACCGUUGUCGGUGCCGUAGGGAAGCCGUGAAGCGAGCCACCUGGGAAGUACGGCCGCAAGGCUGAAACUUAAAGGAAUUGGCGGGGGAGCACCACAACGGGUGGAGCUUGCGGUUUAAUCGGAUUCAACGCCGGAAAUCUUACCGGGACCGACAGCAACAUGAAGGCCAGGCUGAAGACUUUGCCGGAUUAGCUG
rnacentral:rRNA from 1 species